ACCUGCCGAAGGAUCAUUA
rnacentral:rRNA from 1 species